rnacentral:lncRNA from 1 species
ACGGGAACUAAAGCAGCUUGGUCAAGAAGAGCCGUAGAUCCAGAAUGUUCUGUCGAUUUUGAAUGUUCAGCUUCUGCUUUGGCCCCAGGACAUGGAAGCAGAGCUUAGGCAAUUGUGAGGCCGGGUAACUGAGAUUCCCCUGUGGAACACGUGGUGUGGCCAAAGCGUUUUAUGACGGUAUGGACAAGAUGAACAGACAUGGUUUAAGGUCUUGUCAACAACAUGAAGACCUGUCUCCUGAGCCCGUCUUCAUGUGCCAGACCAGUAAGUGCUGAACAUAUGAUAUGCAUUAUCUCAUAAUUAGCAGAUUCUAAUACCAUUAUUGGGUCUUAUUUUACAGAGGAGGAAACGGUGAAAUGAAGACACCUGAUUCUAGAAGCUAGAAGCUCAUGAUUCUAGAGCUAGUCAGUGACUGAGCUGAACUUGACACUCGUUCUUUCUGCUAAUGAAGUUCAAGCUUUUGACCACAAUGCUACACUGCCCAGCGUUCCAGUAUGAGGGGCAAGAAGAGAGUGUCAGAACUGGUAUACCAUCCUGUAAAAUCUCAAAGGUCUGAGCUACGUCUCUGAUGUGAGGUGACAUAAGCC